rnacentral:misc_RNA from 1 species
AAGUCGUAACAAGGUUUCCGUAGGUGAACCUGCGGAAGGAUCAUUACAAAUGCGUCUCACCCGAGUGUGUGAUGACAUCAACUUAUUAACCCUGUGAAUGGUGUGUCACCGAUGGGGGGCGAGUGGCCGCCAACCCGAUUGGCGAUUGGCUGGCCAUUCGCUCCCCUUUUCUUUGGACUAUAUAUGGACAGAGGGGCGCCCGUAUCAUUUAUUGAUGAGGCGCGCGCCCCGUCAUGAUUAUCAUCAUAUAAAACGACGUACAACUUUUAACAAUGGAUCUCUUGGCUCUU